rnacentral:misc_RNA from 1 species
GAUGAAGAACGCAGCGAAAUGCGAUACUUGGUGUGAAUUGCAGAAUCCCGUGAACCAUCGAGUCUUUGAACGCAAGUUGCGCCCGAAGCCAUUAGGCCGAGGGCACGCCUGCCUGGGCGUCACACGUCGUUGCCCCCCCAUCUACUCCUUCGGGAUUGCGGGGGGCGGAUGAUGGCCUCCCGUGCGCCUCGUCGCGCGGUUGGCAUAAAUACCAAGUCCUCGGCGACGCACGCCACGACAAUCGGUGGUUGCGAAACCUCGGUUGCCCGUCGUGUGCGGUCGUCGCGCAUCGAGGGCUCGAAAAAAUUGCCGGGCUCCGGCUCGGCUUUCAACGCGACCCCAGGUCAGGCGGGGUUACCCGCUGAAUUUAAGUAUAUCAAUAAGCGGAGGA